rnacentral:rRNA from 1 species
UACGUAGGUGGCAAGCGUUAUCCGGAAUUAUUGGGCGUAAAGAGCACGCAGGUGGUUAAUUAAGUCUGAUGUGAAAGCCCACGGCUUAACCGUGGAGGGUCAUUGGAAACUGGUUGACUUGAGUGCAGAAGAGGGAAGUGGAAUUCCAUGUGUAGCGGUGAAAUGCGUAGAGAUAUGGAGGAACACCAGUGGCGAAGGCGGCAUCCUGGUCUGCAACUGACACUGAGGCGCGAAAGCGUGGGGAGCAAACAGG